GAAGCCCUACGGGAGGCAGCAGUCGAGAAUCCUUCACAAUGGGGGAAACCCUGAUGGUGCGACGCCGCGUGGGGGAAUGAAGGGCUUCGGAUUGCAACCCCCUGUCAUGUGGGAGCAAAUUAAAAAGAUAGUACCACAAGAGGAAGAGACGGCUAACUCUGUGCCAGCAGCCGCGGUAAUACAGAGGUCUCAAGCGUUGUUCGGAAUCACUGGGCGUAAAGCGUGCGUAGGCUGUUUCGUAAGUCGUGUGUGAAAGGCGCG
rnacentral:rRNA from 1 species